rnacentral:rRNA from 1 species
ACUCAAAGGAAUAGACGGGGGCCCGCACAAGCGGUGGAGCAUGUGGUUUAAUUCGAAGCAACGCGAAGAACCUUACCAAAACUUGACAUCCUACUGAAUAUCUUCUAAUAGAGAUAGGCCUUUCGGGGACAGUAGAGACAGGUGGUGCAUGGUUGUCGUCAGCUCGUGUCGUGAGAUGUUGGGUUAAGUCCCGCAACGAGCGCAACCCUUAUCUUUAGUAGCCAUCAUUUAGUUGGGCACUCUAGAGAGACUGCCGUGGAUAACACGGAGGAAGGUGGGGAUGACGUCAAAUCAUCAUGCCCCUUAUGUUUUGGGCUACACACGUGCUACAAUGGCUGUUACAAAGAGACGCGAUGGGGCGACCUUAAGCAAAACUCAAAAAAACAGUCUCAGUUCGGAUUGUAGUCUGCAACUCGACUACAUGAAGCUGGAAUCGCUAGUAAUCUCGGAUCAGCAUGCCGAGGUGAAUACGUUCCCGGGCCUUGUACACACCGCCCGU